rnacentral:rRNA from 1 species
GACGAACGCUGGCGGCGUGCUUAACACAUGCAAGUCGAACGGAAAGGCCCUGCUUGCAGGGUACUCGAGUGGCGAACGGGUGAGUAACACGUGGGUGAUCUGCCCUGCACUUCGGGAUAAGCCUGGGAAACUGGGUCUAAUACCGGAUAGGAGCCAUUUUUAGUGUGAUGGUUGGAAAGUUUUUUCGGUGUAGGAUGAGCUCGCGGCCUAUCAGCUUGUUGGUGGGGUAAUGGCCUACCAAGGCGGCGACGGGUAGCCGGCCUGAGAGGGGGGACGGCCACAUUGGGACUGAGAUACGGCCCAGACUCCUACGGGAGGCAGCAGUGGGGAAUAUUGCACAAUGGGCGCAAGCCUGAUGCAGCGACGCCGCGUGGGGGAUGACGGCCUUCGGGUUGUAAACUCCUUUCGCUAGGGACGAAGCUUUGUGUGACGGUAUCUAGAUAAGAAGCACCGGCUAACUACGUG